GAUGAACGCUGGCGGCGUGCCUAACACAUGCAAGUCGAGCGAGCUCUUGAGGAGUGGAGACUUCGGUCAAAGCGAGUCAAAUGAACGCGGCGGACGGGUGAGUAACGCGUGAGCAAUCUGCCCCAUACAAAGGGAUACCCACUGGAAACGGUGAUUAAUACCUUAUAAUACCACAGAGUCGCCUGGCUCAGGGGUCAAAGAAUUAUCGGUAUGGGAUGAGCUCGCGUCUGAUUAGCUAGUUGGUAAGGUAAUGGCGUACCAAGGCGACGAUCAUCGGCCUACCUGGGAAGGGGAACGGCCACACUGGAACUGAGAGACGAGCCAUACUCCUACGGGAGGCAGCAGUGGUGAAUAGUUCACAAUGGGCGCAACCCGGAUGCUGCAACGCCGCGUGAAUGAUGAAGGCCUUCGGGGCGUAAAGUUCUGUCCAAAGGGAAGAAUAAAAUGACGGUACCUUUGGAGGAAGCCCCGGCUAACUACGUGCCAGCCGCCGCGGUAA
rnacentral:rRNA from 1 species